GAUGAACGCUGGCGGCGUGCUUAACACAUGCGAGUUGAACGGAAAGGCCACAGCUUGCUGUGGUACUCGAGUGGCGAACGGGUGAGUAACACGUGGGUGAUCUGCCCUGUACUUCGGGAUAAGCUUGGGAAACUGGGUCUAAUACCGGAUAGGAAUCACAUGUGGGUGUGUGGUUGGAAAGCUUUUGCGGUAUGGGAUGAGCUCGCGGCCUAUCAGCUUGUUGGUGGGGUAAUGGCCUACCAAGGCGUCGACGGGUAGCCGGCCUGAGAGGGUGUACGGCCACAUUGGGACUGAGAUACGGCCCAGACUCCUACGGGAGGCAGCAGUGGGGAAUAUUGCACAAUGGGCGCAAGCCUGAUGCAGCGACGCCGCGUGGGGGAUGACGGCCUUCGGGUUGUAAACUCCUUUCGUCAGGGACGAAGCGAAAGUGACGGUACCUGGAGAAGAAGCACCGGCUAACUACGUG
rnacentral:rRNA from 1 species